UUUCUAAUUAUGUGCAUUGUAAAAAGCUAUAUAAAAUAAAUAACAGUGCGCGAUAACAGAUUUUGUACUAAUAUCUAAAUAAAGAAAGUAAUAUGAAAAUGUACAUAUGACUAGCUCUGUGAUUAAGUUUCAAUUUUUAUAAU